GCAUGUUUUAUUGAAAUAUUUACAGUUGUGUCCCAGCUCCUCUUACCCACGCUGACUACAAAAGGCUUGUGCAUCACCAUUAAACACCUCUUUCCCAGACCUACUCCCACUCCCCUCCCUGUCAAGGAUGCAACCGAUUUUAAGGUCUUUGUGGUCCAACAGUGGCAUGGCUGAGUGCAGAGGUACUGAGCGAGACCAGCUGAGCCAGCAGCUCCCUCAGAGUCCAGGUCCCUCAUGCUAAAACUAAAAGGUUUCAGAGCAGUGCCCCACGUGCCAGCUGCCUCACUGAGCAGCCCAGCAGAGCACCUGGGAAUCCUCCACGCAGCACGAGAGCCCCUUAGGUUUUGAUAGCUGUGUCUCGUGACUUGUAAGCCACACCACGGCUCUUCAGCUCUCGGACGAUCCCUUGGGGCAGACGGCCGGUCACGGACACUGCAUACACACCCGGCUUGAAGUUACUGAUGCGCUGCCACUUGGAGACCCAGCUGUCCUCGGGGCUCAUCAUGGCGAUGAUCCCAUCGAAGGAGGAGCUGGUGCAGUCGUAAACCAUCUCGCGGUUGCCCUUCAUCUGCAGGUAGGCAUCGCAGUUGUCGCAGCCGUCGUACUCGAACUGCUCGAGGGUCUUGACGAGGGAGCAGAGCAGGCAGGCCCGGAGGUGCCGCAGGUCUUUCGGGACGGUCUCCAGCGCCAUUGCUGCGGCCGCCGCGCA
rnacentral:lncRNA from 1 species